AGUGAGAUCCUGGCAUCAGCUCUGAGUUUAAAUGCCUCACACCUGAGAGACCUGGAUGUGAGCUACAAUGAUGUAGGAGAUGUUGGUGUACGAGAGCUUUGUGCCAAGCUGAGCCGUGCGAGUUGUAAACUCGAGGCGUUAAAGUUGGGUUACUGCUGCCUCACAGAGGUGUGCCCUGGAGAUCUGGCCGUACUGUUGCGCUCUGCCAGCUCUAAGCUGAGGGAGCUGGAACUGAAAGACAAUGAUCUCAAAGACUCGGGAGUGAAAUUACUUUGUGGUGGACUUGAAGAUCCCAACUGUAUACUACAGCGACUCGGACUGUCAGGCUGUCGGGUCACAGAAGAUGGCUGCGUUUUCCUGAGUCAGGCCCUUCAUUAUCAAACCCUUCACACCUGAGAGCGCUGGAUCUGAGCUACAAUCACCCGGGUGACUCUGGACUGACAGUGUUCUCUGCUGUACAGGAGAAUCCCAGCUGUGCACUGGAGAACCUCCUGUGAAUGUCCCCGAUUGGCAGCUGUGGCUGCCCCCGUCCAUCAGGGGAUACGGGUUGAUUUCUAAGAAUCCUUUGCUGUUAACUUGUGGAGCCUCUGUACUGACAAUCACAUAUCAGUGCUGUCAAUCAUCUAACCCCCGUCAUUCUGAUUUUGCCAAUUUGUAGUGUCGACCAUUGUGGAGAGAACAGAGACAAGCCAGGGCUGCAAAAAUAUAGGUGUUUUACACAAAAUACACAAGUAUGGUCAAGGACGCAUAUUUAGAAACACCCAGAGACUUACUGUAUGAAAACCGAGAUUCACAAACCUGUCCAAUUUGGUCUCUACUAAUUGGAUCCCACUAGUUACAGCAUAAUUGUCUCAUCAGUCAUCUGUUUACCCUACACAUACAGCUGUGGCCAAAUGUUUUGAGAAUGAUGAUGAUGAUGAUGAUGAUGAUGAUGAUGAUGAAAACCCUUUAUUGCUGUUGCAAUACACCAUGUCACUAGUCACAAGUACCGGUGAAAAAACCAACCAUCAACACGACCAUACAUAUACACAAACAUCAGAGUAGGGGGUAGACCGGUCAGGAGACAGGGGCAAACAGAGAGAAGAAAGAAACAGAAUGACACAAGUAUUGGUUUUCACAAAGUUGGCUGCGUCAGUGUUUGUAGAUCUUUUUGUCUGAUGUUUCUAUGGUAUACUAAAGCAUAAUUACAAGCAGUUGGUAAGUGCGAAAGGCAUCUUCAGUUCCCCCUGGCAUGCCGUUAAUGAACUUCUGGACCGAAUUCUGACUGAUGGCAGCCCAUUCUUGCACAAUCAGUGCUUGGAGUUUGUCAGAAUUUGUGGGUUUUUGAUUGCCCACCCGCCUCUUGAGGAUUGACCACAAGUUCUCAAUGGGAUUAAGGUCUGGGGAGUUUCCUGGCCAUGGACCAAAGUGUCGAUGUUUUGUUCCCCGGGCCACUUGGUUAUCACUUUUGUCUUAUGGCAUGGAGCUCCAUCAUGCUGGAAAAGGCAUCGUUCAUCACCAAACUGCUCUUGGAUGGUUGGGAGUAUGUUUUGGUACCAUUCAUUGUGAGUGAGUCCACUCUCUUGGCUGAGAAGCAACCCCACACAUGAAUGGUCUAAGGAUGCUUUACUGUUGGCGUGACACAGGACUGAUGGUAGCAUCACUUUCUCUUCUCUGGGUCUUUUUUCCAGAUUCAUCAGAGAAAAUGACUUCACCCCAGUCCUCAGCAGUCCAAUCCCUGCACCUUUUGCAGAAUAUCAAACUGUCCCUGAUGUUUUAUGUUGGAGAGAAGUGGCUUCUUUGUUGCCCUUCUUGAAACAAGGCCAUCGUAUAAGUCACCUCACUGUGUGUGCAGAUACACUCACACCUGCCUGCUGUCAUUCCUGAGCAAGCUCUGCACUGGUGGUGUCCCGAUCCUGCAGUUGAAUAAACUUUAGGAGAUGGUCCUGGUCCUUGCUGGACUUCCUUGGGAGCUCUGAAGCCUUCUUCACAACAAUAGAAGCUCUCUCCUUGAAGUUCUUGGUGAUCCGAUAAAUGGUCGAUUUAGGUACAAUCUUACUAGCAGCAAUAUCCUUUUUGUGCAAAGCAAUGAUGACUGCAUGUGUUUCCUAUCAUGGGUACCAGAAGAAGAACAAUGAUUUCAAGCACCGUCCUCCUUUUAAAGCAUCCAGUCUGCUAUUCUAAGUCAAUCAGCAUGACAGUGGGAUCUCCAGCAUUGUCACCUGUGUUAACAAGAGAAGCACCGAAAUGAUGUCAGCAGGUCCUUUUGUGGCAGGAAAUGCAGUGGAAAUGGGUUUUUUGGGAUAAAGUUCAUUUUCAUGGCAAAAAGGGACCUUGCAAUGAAUUGCAACUCAUCUGAUCACUCUCCAUAACAUCCUGGAGCACAUGCAAAUUUUCCAUCAUGAAAACUGAGGCAGCAGACUUUGUGACAAUUAAUAUUCGUGUCAUUCUCAAGACUUUU